CACGCAAUGGGAGUGCGAAUCUCGAAAGACCUGUCUCAGUUCGGAUUGGAGGCUGAAACCCGCCUCCAUGAAGUUGGAUUCGCUAGUAAUCGCGCAUCAGCCAUGGCGCGGUGAAUACGUUCCCGGGCCUUGUACACACCGCCCGUCAAGCCAUGGGAGCCGGGGGUGCCUGAAGUUCGUGACCGCAAGGAGCGACCUAGGGCAAAACUGGUGACUGGGGCUAAGUCGUAACAAGGUACC
rnacentral:rRNA from 1 species